CGACAGUGCCACGUUGAAUACACCAUGCAGUUCUCGUUCGAUCACUGAAGUUAAGCGACAUCGGGUGCGGUCAGUAUUUGGAUAGGUGACGGUCUGGGAGAUCAUAGACAAUGACGA
rnacentral:rRNA from 1 species